ensembl:snRNA U6 U6 spliceosomal RNA
GUGUUUAUUUUGGCAGCAUAUGGACGAAGAUUGGAAUGACACAGAGAUUAGCAGGGCUUCUGCAUAAGAUGGCACACAGAUUUGUGACUCGUCUUAUAUUUUU